GAGUGUUGCCACUCAGCCACCGUGCUGCCUAUACACAAAAACAAACAGGAAAAUCAGACAAACAAGAAAAAUUGGCCAGGCGAGGAGGAGGGAGGGGGGCGGAGGAGGGCCAGGCGAGGAGGAGGAAGACCAGGUGAGGAGGAGGAGAGUCGGGCAAGGAGGAUGAGAGCCAGGCGAGGAGGAGAGGGAGGCGGGUGGAGGAGGGCCAGGCGUGGAGGAGGGCCAGGCGGGGAGGAGGGCCAGGCGGGGAGGAGGGCAGGGUCCAGUUGUCAUCGGGGCAUCUGAAAGAGUUACACUCCACAGGGGGAGUGGGACAGGGAACAACAUGUCAAUAGCAUUGCUGAUGAGAAAAUAAGAGGAAGCAGAGGAUAGUGCUCAGGUUGACAUACUUCCCCCAGCUAGUUAUCUCCUACUGCAGCCUAUCUUAUCUCGGGUUUUAAUGUCUCUCCCUAACACCCUCACUAAAUAACCUGGUCAUAAGCUAUACCGAAGAGGAAUGUUUUAAGCCUGGUCUUAAAUAGAGAGACUAUGGGGGCCUGUUUAACAUCAGCAGGGAGUUGAUACCAUAGCACAGGAGCAGUGUUGGGAAUAACGGAGUUACAUUAUAACGGCAUUACUAACUGCGUUACUUUUUCAGUAACGGAGUAAUCUAACUAAUUACUUUUCCCAGCGUCCUAACGCCAUUACCGUUACUGACUAUAAAAUGUGGCGCGUUACUUUUAAUUCAGUUCACUCUUCUCUUCAUCAGAGUCUCUCAGCCGAGGAGCUGCAACGCGGCUCGGGGUGAGAUAAAAGGCUUGUUUGAGAUGAGGCGGGUGCAGAUACUAUCGCCGUCGAUCGGUGCGCGGUGCAUGCCGGUUAGUUUUGUGUUCAAGAUGCCACCGACUUGCUCUGACAUAACCUGUGCGCCGGUAACGGGAAGUUUUUGAGCAAGGCGAGCGCAGCAGCUCUCCACCGCCAGCGGCCGCCUGCAUGGACUACAAACGCUUAAUGCAUGAUGGGAAAUGAUGUCCUGUCCACACGUGCAUCGACAGCUGAUUGGAUGGAUAGAUAGAUAAAUAAAGGAAUAGAUACGUG
ensembl:lncRNA